GUGCCAGCCGCCGCGGUAAUACCGGCAGCUCGAGUGAUGGCCGCUCUUAUUGGGCCUAAAGCGUCCGUAGCUGGCCGCGCAAGUCCGUCGGGAAAUCCAUCCGCCCAACGAGUGGGCGUCCGACGGAAACUGCACAGCUUGGGACCGGAAGGCUCGAAGGGUACGUUCGGGGUAGGAGUGAAAUCCCAUAAUCCCGCACGGACCACCGAUGGCGAAAGCACCUCGAGAAAACGGAUCCGACAGUGAGGGACGAAAGCUAGGGUCUCGAACCGGAUUAGAAACCCGUGUAGUCC
rnacentral:rRNA from 1 species